AGAACACCAAUGGCGAAGGCAGGUCUCUGGGCCGUUACUGACGCUGAGGAGCGAAAGCGUGGGGAGCGAACAGGAUUAGAUACCCUGGUAGUCCACGCCGUAAACGGUGGAUGCUGGAUGUGGGGCCCGUUCCACGGGUUCCGUGUCGGAGCUAACGCGUUAAGCAUCCCGCCUGGGGAGUACGGCCGCAAGGCUAAAACUCAAAGAAAUUGACGGGGGCCCGCACAAGCGGCGGAGCAUGCGGAUUAAUUCGAUGCAACGCGAAGAACCUUACCUGGGCUUGACAUGUUCCCGACGGUCGUAGAGAUACGGCUUCCCUUCGGGGCGGGUUCACAGGUGGUGCAUGGUCGUCGUCAGCUCGUGUCGUGAGAUGUUGGGUUAAGUCCCGCAACGAGCGCAACCCUCGCCCCGUGUUGCCAGCGGAUUAUGCCGGGAACUCACGGGGGACCGCCGGGGUUAACUCGGAGGAAGGUGGGGAUGACGUCAGAUCAUCAUGCCCCUUACGUCCAGGGCUUCACGCAUGCUACAAUGGCCGGUACAACGGGAUGCGACGCGGCGACGCGGAGCGGAUCCCUGAAAACCGGUCUCAGUUCGGAUCGCAGUCUGCAACUCGACUGCGUGAAGGCGGAGUCGCUAGUAAUCGCGAAUCAGCAACGUCGCGGUGAAUGCGUUCCCGGGCCUUGUACACACCGCCCGUCAAGUCAUGAAAGUGGGCAGCACCCGAAGCCGGUGGCCUAACCCCUUGUGGGAUGGAGCCGUCUAAGGUGAGGCUCGUGAUUGGGACUAAGUCGUAACAAGGUAGCCGUACCGGAAGGUGCGGCUG
rnacentral:rRNA from 1 species